AAACUAUAUAGAUAAAUAUAUCUGGCAUAGUGUCUAUUAACGUAUAGAAAUUAAAUCUUAAUCAACAGUAUACUAACGUUGCAACAAUGUUAUAGAUAAUAUGUCAUAUUUUAGACGCAUUUAGGCAAAAUCAUAACAUUACAUAUCGGUAUACUAAAACAUAUUUUAUGAUCUAUACGUAUAUCUGGAGACUAUGUGCACUUGGGUUAAAAUAAAAUUAAAGGACUUCUAUUUUACGUAUUCUGGGCCAACGUCUUCACUUAACAUUUCAAGGGUGCUUUUUUAUGUACAUUUUUAAGCUUAUUAGUUUAAUAUUUGAAAAUAAACUAUAAGUUAGUGACAAAAACAUUUAUCUUAUCUUAUAAAUUAUAGACGUUAUUUUAAAACAUACACUAAACAUAAAAUGUUAAUCUAGUUAUGCUUGUUGUUUAGAGACUUAAAGUCAUUGGUUUUCUCCCGCUGAUUCAGGCAACCCGUUCCAUGCAGUAAUGGCACUAGGGAAGAUGAAAAUGUAUACACUUUCGUCAGCAUAUAAAAUGAUAGAAUUACUCCAUCUGUGUGUCCUUUUAUUAGGCUUUGUUAUUAAAUUUCAAUGUCACUGGUUACAUCCCUUGCAAAGACUGACAUGCGGUCGUCUCCCAUGCGGAGUAAGUGUCCGACCCAGACCAGCUGUCUGACUCUAUACUGUCCACAUCAGCCUCCACCAGAACAAGGAAUCAUAUCUUAUAUUGUUUAAAAUGGCAUCAAUUAUUUUUUAUUCAAUCAUGUAAUUAAUUUAUAAUAGAUAAUAACUAACAAUAAUACAUUUGUGUGAUAAGAAAU